CCCGCUGUAGCUCAAUGGUAGAGCACGUGGCUGUAGCAUGAAACUCGAGAAAUGCCCGGAACUUUUUUUCCGGCGCAGAAACCACGGGGUUGCCUGUUCAAAUCAGGCCAGCGGGA
rnacentral:tRNA from 1 species